rnacentral:tRNA from 1 species
GAGGAUAUAGCUCAGUGGUAGAUCAUGUGUUUAGAAUGCGUGAGGUCCUGGGUUCAAUCCCCAGCACCUCCA